rnacentral:misc_RNA from 1 species
GCAAACUUGGUCAUUUAGAGGAAGUAAAAGUUGUAACAAGGUUUCCGUAGGUGAACCUGCGGAAGGAUCAUUAACAAAUCCAUACUUGUGGGAUGUCCAACAUCCUGCAAAUAUUAAUCCGCUGGCCUCGCAAGGGGCUGGUUGAUAGAUAACAUAAAUGUGUGUAGUGUUGACAGUGUGUGAUAUUUAAUAAUUAUAUUGACAACUUUUAACAAUGGAUCUCUAGGCUCUUGCAUCGAUGAAGAACGCAGC